UACGUAGGGGGCAAGCGUUGUCCGGAAUUACUGGGCGUAAAGCGUGCGCAGGCGGCUAUGCAAGACAGAUGUGAAAUCCCCGGGCUCAACCUGGGAACUGCAUUUGUGACUGCAUGGCUAGAGUACGGUAGAGGGGGAUGGAAUUCCGCGUGUAGCAGUGAAAUGCGUAGAUAUGCGGAGGAACACCGAUGGCGAAGGCAAUCCCCUGGACCUGUACUGACGCUCAUGCACGAAAGCGUGGGGAGCAAACAGG
rnacentral:rRNA from 1 species